rnacentral:rRNA from 1 species
GUUGUUUAGUUGAAAAUCAAUUAAAUAAUUUUUGAUUUUAAGUAGUAUUGACCUUAUCAGCUUGCUGCUUUUUUCUCUGAAAUUAUUUAAUGCACUUUUCAGUUAACAAGUCAACAUCAAUUUCUUUUGUUGUAAAAGGGUAAGAGGAAGGUGGCUUGCGCUUCGGCUCAAGUGUUUAUAGCCUUUUACCUCUGCAAUCGGAGAGAUUGAGGUCUGCAGCGUAGAUCCUUCGGGGUUAGAUACAUUUGUGCUAAGCUAUAGCCUUGUAUAGACAACUUGUUGACUAUGCUCAGUCAUGUAGCUUACUCGCUUAUGCUAUUUUACCUAC